CAGCAAUCCAUCAGUGUCUCAGGAGAACUGGCCUUACCGAUCCUGACCUGUGUUCUCUUACUUGGAAAUAAGGUAAUUCCUUAAAAAGGUCAGCUGUCAUCAGAAAUAUGAAGAGCAUCCUGAGACAACAUGGCUGGGGAGACUGGAUCUGCGUCCUUGGUUUUCCAUCUUAAAAGAAUAUGACACCAAAAAGAAAAGGAACACCAG